rnacentral:rRNA from 1 species
UGGGGAAUUUUGGACAAUGGGCGAAAGCCUGAUCCAGCAAUGCCGCGUGUGUGAAGAAGGCCUUCGGGUUGUAAAGCACUUUUGUCCGGAAAGAAAUCCUUGGCUCUAAUACAGUCGGGGGAUGACGGUACCGGAAGAAUAAGCACCGGCUAACUACGUGCCAGCAGCCGCGGUAAUACGUAGGGUGCAAGCGUUAAUCGGAAUUACUGGGCGUAAAGCGUGCGCAGGCGGUUUGCUAAGACCGAUGUGAAAUCCCCGGGCUCAACCUGGGAACUGCAUUGGUGACUGGCAGGCUAGAGUAUGGCAGAGGGGGGUAGAAUUCCACGUGUAGCAGUGAAAUGCGUAGAGAUGUGGAGGAAUACCGAUGGCGAAGGCAGCCCCCUGGGCCAAUACUGACGCUCAUGCACGAAAGCGUGGGGAGCAAAACAGGAUUAGAUACCCUGGUAGUCCACGCCCUAAAACGAUGUCAACUAGUUGUUGGGGAUUCAUUUCCUUAGUAACGUAGCUAACGCGUGAAGUUGACCGCCUGGGGAGUACGGUCGCAAGAUUAAAACUUAAAUGGAAUUGACGGGGUCAUAGCUG